GCGCCCCUAGCUCAAUGGAUAGAGCAGGCGGUUUCUACCCGCCCGAUGUGGUUCCUACAGGGCGCGCCA
rnacentral:tRNA from 2 species